UACGAUCACAUCUCGUUGAAACUUCACUUCCUGUACAAUCACCUAAGUUAAGCAUUAUUGAACCUGGUCAGUACAGUGAUGGGUGACCACUUGGGAAUACCAAAUGCUGUAAG